rnacentral:rRNA from 1 species
UACGUAGGUGGCAAGCGUUGUCCGGAUUUACUGGGCGUAAAGGGCGUGCAGGCGGUCUGUUAAGUGCAGGGUGAAAGCUCCCGGCUCAACUGGGAGAGGUCCUUGCAUACUGGCGGACUUGAGGGGGGUAGAGGAAAGUGGAAUUCCCGGUGUAGCGGUGGAAUGCGCAGAUAUCAGGAGGAACACCGAUGGCGAAGGCAGGUCUCUGGGCCAUUACUGACACUGAGAAGCGAAAGCAUGGGGAGCGAACAGG